rnacentral:rRNA from 1 species
AACGAACGCUGGCGGCAUGCCUAACACAUGCAAGUCGAACGAGACCUUCGGGUCUAGUGGCGCACGGGUGCGUAACGCGUGGGAAUCUGCCCCUUGGUUCGGGAAUAACAGUUAGAAAUAGACUGCUAAUACCGGAUGAUGACGAAAGUCCAAAGAUUUAUCGCCGAGGGAUGAGCCCGCGUAGGAUUAGCUAGUUGGUGAGGUAAAGGCUCACCAAGGCGACGAUCCUUAGCUGGUCUGAGAGGAUGAUCAGCCACACUGGGACUGAGACACGGCCCAGACUCCUACGGGAGGCAGCAGUGGGGGAAGUAAUUUGGGACAAAUGGGCGAAAGCCUGAUCCAGCAAUGCCGCGUGAGUGAUGAAGGCCUAGGUCGUAAAGACUCUUUUACCUAGGGA